ensembl:snoRNA SNORD38A small nucleolar RNA, C/D box 38A
CUUCUUAUGAUGAAAACUGCGUCCAGUUCUGCUGCUGAAGGGAAAGAGAUGAAAGCUUUUAGUGCUGAGGAAG